rnacentral:lncRNA from 1 species
AUGCAAGUCCUUCCAUUGGUAUGGAGGCUUUUCAUUUCUAUGAUGAGAAGCCUCUGGAAAGUCCCCACAAAGCUGAGGACAGACAGACUCCACCUCAUCAGCAGCUUUGGGCUGCGUUGCUUCACUGAUGCUGGAUUUGGGAUAUCAUCUCAGAGCCUGAUGCUUCCAGGUUCAUUGAGAUGUUGACUGAAUUCAGGAGGAUGACAGCUCUUUGAAAAAAAUCAGCUGG